UGAUCCUUCUCUACUCAUACAAUGAUUUCAAGGAAGCCGUGAAGGAAGCUAACAACACACAUUACGGUCUCCAAUCUGGCAUCUUUAUGCAUGAUCUAAACAAGGCCUUCUAUGCGUUUGAGCACAUAGAGGCUGGAGGAGUUUGCCUCAAUGAUUCGCCAAGCAUGCGCGUUGAUAGCCAGCCAUACGGUGGGAUCAAAGACUCUGG